CGCCGCCCCCGCCGGGACCGCGGCCCGGGGGCCGGCCAGGGAUGGGCAGGCGGGCGAGCACCUCUGCACAGGGCCGCCGCUUACCUGGAGGGCAACACCGUGCCUGGGCGACCUGUUGUCUGCAGGGCAGCGCCUUAGCGAGCCAAGUGCCUCUGCUCCCCUCGGGGCAGCAGGGCAUCGCGCAACUGCUAAUCCGGAAGGUAAUGUUCAGAUUCACAGAGUGGUUGAGGUUGAAGGGACCUCUGGAGACCAUCUAGUCCAACCCCCCUGCUCAAGCAGGGUCCUCUAGAGUAUAUUUCCCAGGAUCACAUCCAGGCAGGUUGUGAAUAUUUCCAGGGAAGGAAACUCCGCAGCCUCCCUGGGCAACUCGUUCCAGUGCUCAGUCGCCCUCACAGGAAAGAAGUUUUUCCUCAGUAAAGAAGUUUUCCUUA
rnacentral:lncRNA from 1 species